CGGUGGCGGGGCCGCCGGGGAAGCUCGGGCAUCUCCCCCUCCCCGGCCACGUGCGCCUGUGCAGAAACUCCGCACCCCCAGCCCGCCGCUUGGAGAGGACAGGAGGGACGGGAGAGCGGCGCCUCGGGGCGAAUGGGGGAGGCGGCUCAGCUCCGGUGUGCGCGGGCCGCGGGGGCGGUCGCUGCCGACGGAGCUCCGCUCCUCGGUUACGCAGAGCGGUGGCCACGGGGACCUGGUGCCUCGUAAAGGGCUAGGGAGGAAAGCACCGAGUGGCUUAUAAAUACGGGGGAGGAGAGGGGCGUCUCCCUCGCUCCCCACCCCUUCCAUCUCCCCCGCCGCGCACGGCGCGCUUGGAGCUCCUUCUGCUUGUCCGGGCGCCCGGAGCGGCUCCGCGCCCUAGUGCGGUGUGGUGCGGUGAGCGCAGACCGGGCGCGGGAGGCUGCUGCUGAAGGUGAAUCUCUCGCUCUCCAAUUACUUUUCCCAAGAGGGAGAAGGAGGCAGCAGGAGGGGGAAGUCGUGCUGUGUGUGGACCGCAACACCAAUCAGAGAUGCUCUAACGGAGGGUCUGCUGCAGGACGCGCUUCUCCUCCUUCCUCUGCCGGCGGGGCUGAAUCGGGACCGCGCGCAGCUGGCGGAGGGGCCGGAGGCACACUGGGCUGCAGGACUUCCUCAUCCUCCGCUUUUUCAAUAGCUCAACCAUACUUCGUCCUCUUUUAAUUUUUUUUUUAAUACUCUGAAAUCGUGCACGAGAAACACUUCAAGUCUUCCCUCUCUUGUCAGUUCCUUCACCCUUCCUCUAGCAUCUCUUAGCCGGAUUUCUGGUGUAUUGCCAGAGAGGCGGGGGGAGACUCGGGCCCCGCGGACGGCCGCUGCCCCAGCCCGGCCGAGCCGAAGGGAACGGAGCCGAGCGGAGCGGGCACGGCGCCGCUCCGUGCCCCCGGGCGCUGGCGGGGCGCGGGGCGUGUGCCGGAGAUGCCCGGGCGGUAAAGCUGGAGCUCUCCCCGGACGGGAGGUGUCCGAUCAUUAGGCGUUUCUAGCAAGAAUCGGGACUGCAGGAUGAAUAAGAGAUACUUACAGAAAGCAACAAAAGGAAAACUGCUAAUAAUAAUAUUUGUUGUAACGCUGUGGGGGAAAUUAGCAUCUGGGGCAAAUCAUCAUAAAGCUCACCAUGUUAAAACUGGGACCUGUGAAGUGGUGGCACUUCACAGAUGUUGCAAUAAGAACAAGAUAGAAGAAAGAUCACAGACGGUGAAGUGCUCCUGCUUCCCUGGGCAGGUAGCGGGUACCACCCGGGCAGCUCCUUCUUGUGUUGAUGCUUCAAUCGUGGAGCAGAAAUGGUGGUGCCACAUGCAACCAUGUCUUGAAGGGGAGGAAUGUAAAGUUCUUCCAGAUCGUAAGGGGUGGAGCUGUUCCUCUGGGAAUAAAGUGAAAACAACUAGGGCAAACGUGUAAAACUCCUCAAGGCCGAAUGGAGAAGUAGAGAAAGGAGGUUUCUGCUGUGCCUGAUGACAAUAUUUGUUUUUUCCACACAAAAAAUAUUCUGGCUCCACGUUGGAGCACUAGUUGUGAUGAAUCCUAGUCUUGGUCGGAUUCUAAGGAAGGGCCAGAACGUUCGUUGAGGAAUAAAGAGUCACACCACUCCAGAAAAUGUGUUCCAGCCCUCGUUUAUUACUCACAGAGCAGCAGGUAACCUGAUAGCUAAAGACAAAUCAAGUCACUAUCAAGGCUGAUAAAAUUAAAUACAACAUGUGGGAAUUUCAUUCCUCCAGGCAAUCCUUGAAGUGAAAUUUUAUACUGCUGGAGUGUAUCCUUCAGAAUCAAUUGUUUCAAUGAGAAUCUGUCUUGUAAUCAGCAACAGCCUUGAGAUUAAAACUACUGGAAAGUCAUUUUGAACUUCUGUGUCACAAAGAUUUCAACUGAUUGAACUGUGUACACUUGUAAAAUUGCACUUGCUGAGGAAUUUGCAGCUGUAAUCAUGUGUUGAUACUCUAAAGGUGCAGAAAAGCAGCAAACUGUUGGAUUCUCCAUUGCAGACCAGUGGCUUUUCAUCUUGAUGAAGUCAACCUCCAAAAUGUAUUGGAUCCUUCCCUCUAAAAUGAUCCCUGGUCCACUUUCAGAUUGCUGGUGGUACUGCACAUUGCUUUAAUUAAAUUUCUGUUGCAGAAAUGGUCCUCUGGCAUGGCACAGUUUUAGACAUUUUUAUUUGUGUUCAAAUCUUGCAGCUCUGAAAGAUACAUAUUUCAACAUCUUGAAGUUGCUUUUGUUAUAGGAAUGGAAUUAUAUAUCCAUUGUUAAUAAUUAUUGUUGACAAGUAAUAGUUAUCUGAAUACACCAGUCAUAUUAGAUUGUAUAGUCAGGCUGACGUGUUUGCCUAAGGCUAAUCAGCCACUGCAACUUAACAGUUAAAAAAGUAGUGGUCAAAACUCAAUUACCACCUCCAUUAUAAAGCAUUUUGUACCUCUAAGAUAUACAUUUCCAUUUAGUUUGAAGGAGAUGGGUGUUCCCAAUGUGUACUUUACUUUCCUAACCUUUAAUUGAUUUAAGUUCAUGGUAAGCAGUCAAUGACGGUAUUUCAUCUUUUUUUUUGUCAGGGUAGGCAGGGAUGUAAAUGAGUUUUGCAAUUAUGAAAUUGGAUGGUAAUCACUCAGAAUUUUUGUCUUUUUAUUAAAAAAUAAAAUCUCUUGCUUGAACCUAAGUACUGAUGGAUGCUUACGUAGAUGUCUGCUCAGUCUGUUUGCUAUAAAGGAAAAAAGUCCUAGUGCCCACCCAGAUUUACACUUCAUGGGUAUUUUGCUUGCUUACAGUCAUCCCAUUCAGAUCUGAUCCUUUCCAAAAUUUCUUUUUUCUUUUUUUUUGGCAGCAAUUUUUUUGAACUUUGUGAUGUGCUGUUACAUGAAAAAAAUCCUCAAUAUUUAAAGGCCUUAAACAUCUCUGAGCUUUUUUCUAAGUUAUUACAGAAUGUAUAAUUUUAUACUCCAUUUAAUAUAUAUUGUACCAUCUGUAAUGUUGAUACAACAGAAAUUUGGCAGUUCCUUUUAGAAACACUGCAUAAAGAAGCUGACCAGAGAGGGUAAGGGAAUUCUGACUUUAUGCUUUGGUGAAUUGACAUGAAAGCCACACACACAGUGGUAGUAAAAAGUACGUAGGAGUAAGCUUAUGUGUGGUUACCAUAUUCACAAAAAAAACCAAAAACAAACCACAAACCAAACAAGCAAAAAAACCCCCAAAAGACAAAAAACCCAAAACAAGACAGAUGAGGGAAAAUAUUUUAUCAUUACAAGCCAUUGACAUGGCUAGUUUAGUUAUAUGUUAGGUUCCAUGAUAGAUGAACACCCUGGAGUGCUCUGCCUGUCACAGUAGCCCCUGUUGUUCCAAAACCAUUUCAUUACCUCUGUUGUAUUAUUGCACAGGAGAGCUUAAAUAAAAUAAAUGACUGUUGGGAAUAAAAUUGAGAAGUAUAUUCUAUCAUUCUGCUGAGAAGUAAUAAAAAAUUGUUGGCAGGAAAAGAUCUUAUUUUCUGAUUAAAAUUUAAUUAGAAUAAACUGUAGCAGCUACUAGGUAUCUCAGUAUUUUAGGAUGGAUUAGUAUUGUAUGGAUUUGUGCUAACAAGUUCAGGACAGAAGGUAGCAUCUUAAAGAGAUCGUCUGGGACAGUGCAAAAUAUAAAUGUGCUGUUUUGUAGACUAUGAAUAUGGCCUCUCUUUGGCCAAAAAUCUAUAUCAUGCUUCUAACUAAAUGUUUUCUUUGUUUCCUUGUUCUUAAACCAAUACUGAAAGUACUGUAUUAUAUAGAAGUGUAACACAUGCAUAUCAAUAAAUAAAAAUAAAUGGAUUUUCAAAUAUAUUGAAUAGAUUAUCUGCAGUAAUUAAUGUUGUGACUAUUCAUAGCAAGUGAAUAAAAUUGUAAUAUAAAAUA